CGGGAGUGGCGAAAUUGGUAGACGCACCGGUUUUUGAUACCGGCAUUCCCUGGGUUCGAAUCCAGGUACCCAGCCA
rnacentral:tRNA from 1 species